UCUCUGCUAUAAACAAUAAUUGAAAUCAUUCUCUCCGUAUAUCCAUUUCUUCCCCACUUCUACUAAUAUUCUCUACUCUUAGUUAUCAUAAACAAUGGCUGAAAUCAUUGUUUCGGCUUUCUUCUCGGUGUUCUUUGAAAAGCUGGCCUCUGAAGCCAUCAAGAAGAUUGCUCGCGCUAAGGGAAUUGAUUCCCAGCUCAGGAAACUGAAGAGGUCAUUAAUCCAGAUUAGAGCUCUGCUUAAUGAUGCUUCCCAGAAGGAAAUAAGUGAUGAAGCUGUUAAAGAGUGGUUGAAUGGUCUCCAACAUCUGGCUUACGACAUAGACGACCUACUUGAUGACUUGGCAACAGAAGGUAUGCAUCGUGAGUUGACCGAUGAAUUUGGAGCCUCCACCAGCUUGGUAAGAAAGAUAAUCCCAACUUGUUGCACAGAUUUCCCACUAAGUAGUAGGAUGAGUAGCAAGUUAGAUGCUAUUACCACCAAGUUACAAGAACUGGUAGAGGAAAAAGAAAAUCUUGGUUUAAGUGUGAAAGAUGAAAGCCCAAAACAUAUGAAUAGAAGGUUAGAGACCUCUCUGGUAGAUGCAUCUAGUAUUGUUGGACGCAAAGAUGAAAAGGAUGCUUUGAUCCACAAGCUAUAUGAACCAUGUGAUAGAAACUAUAGCAUCGUGCCCAUAGUUGGUAUGGGUGGGGUGGGCAAGACCACUCUAGCUAGACUUUUGUAUGACGAAAUGCAAGGGAAGGCUCACUUCGAACUCAAUGCGUGGGUUUGUGUUUCUGAUGAAUUUGAUAUCUUCAAUAUAACCAAAGUUAUCUUUCAAGCGAUAGGCGGGGGAAACCAAGAAUUUAAGGACUUAAAUCUUCUUCAAGUAGCUUUAAAAGAGAAGAUAUCAAAGAAAAGAUUUCUUCUUGUUCUUGAUGAUGUGUGGAGUGAAAGCUAUACCGAUUGGGAAAUUCUAGAACGCCCAUUUCUUGCAGGGGCACCUGGAAGUAAGAUUAUCAUCACCACCCGGAAGCUGUCAUUGCUAACCCAACUGGGUUACAAUCAACCUUACACUCUCUCUGUUUUGUCACAUGAGAAUGCUGUAUCUUUGUUCUGUCAACAUGCAUUCGGCGAAAAUAACUUCGAUUCACAUCCUUCGCUUAAACCACAUGGUGAAGGUAUUGUCGAAAAAUGUGAUGGCCUGCCAUUGGCUUUGAUAGCACUUGGGAGGUUAUUGAGGACAAAAUCAGACGAGGAAGAAUGGAAGGAGUUGCUUAAUAGUGAGAUAUGGAGGUUGGGAAAUAGAGAUAAGAUUAUUCCGGCUCUUAGGCUAAGCUACCAUGAUCUUCCUGCUAAUUUGAAGCUGCUGUUCGCAUAUUGUUCCUUGUUCCCUAAGGACUACAUGUUUGACAUGGAGGAGUUGAUUCUAUUAUGGAUGGCGGAAGGGUUUUUGCAUCAAUCAAGUACAGGGAAAUCAAUGGAACGUAUGGGUGUUGAAUGUUUUGAAGACUUGUUGUCAAGGUCAUUUUUCCAACAUGCGCCUAAUGAUGAAUCUUUCUUUGUGAUGCAUGACCUCAUCAAUGACUUAGCCAUGUCUGUUGCUGGAGAAUUUUUUUCAAGGUUAGACAUUGAAAUGAAGAAGGAAGUUGGGAAGGAAGAUUCGCGUAAGUACCGCCACAUGUCAUUUGUUUGUGAGACAUUUAUGGUUUACACAAAGUUCAAGGCAUUCAAAGGAGCUAAUAGUUUGAGAACAUUAUUAGCUUUAUCUGUUGGGAUGAUAAACAGUUGGCAAACAUUCUACUUAUCAAAUAAGGUUUUAGAUAACUUACUUGAGGAGUUACCAUUGUUAAGGGUCCUAAGUUUGAGUAAUCUUAGCAUAAGGGAGGUACCAGAAUUCGUUGGCAAUUUGAAGCACCUGCGGUAUCUUAAUUUAUCUCAAACCAAAAUCACACAUUUACCAGAUAAUAUCGGCAACCUUUAUAAUUUACAGGCAUUGAUUGUUUCUGGCUGUAGUUAUUUAAAAAAGUUGCCCGAGAGCUUCUCAAAGCUUAAAAAUUUGCGGCAUUUUGACAUGAGAGAUACUCCACUUUUGAAGAAGAUGCCAUUAGGGAUUGGUGAGUUGAAAAGCCUACGAACUCUCUCUAAGAUCAUUAUUGAAGGAGACAGCGGCUUUUCAAUAACUGAGCUUAAAGAUCUAAAGGAUCUCCAAGGUAAAAUUUCCUUUAAGGGGCUUGACAAAGUGCAAAACCCGAUGCAUGCACAGGAAGUGAACUUAUCCCACAGGAGGCUAAGUGAGUUAGGGGUGGAAUGGAGUGAUGUAUUUGAUAAUUCUCGAAUGGAAACAGUUGAACAGGAGGUCCUGAAUGUGAUGAAGCCUCAUAAUGAUAAUCUAAAACGUCUCAAGAUUGUGUCAUAUGGAGGUACAGAGUUUCCGAGUUGGGUUGGGGAUCCCUCAUUUCAUCGGUUGGCUAAAGUGACAUUAAAUGGUUGUAAGAAGUGUACAUCUCUACCGCUACUUGGGCAGCUACUGUUCCUUAAGGAGUUGUAUAUUGGAGGGAUGGAUGCCGUAAAAGUUGUGGGCUCGGAGUUGCUUGGGACUACUGGUCUUGGAUUCCCUUCACUUGAGAUUCUAUGUUUUAGAGAUAUGAAAGGGUGGGAGGUGUGGUCAACCAAUAAUAAUGGGGUACUUGUGGAUACAGCAUUUCCAUGCCUUCAAGACCUUUCUAUAUGGAAUUGUCCUAAUUUGGUUAGAGUCUCAAUUGAAGCAUUACCUUCACUGAGGGUGUUAAGGAUAAGUGGGUGCGGUCAUGAAGUGUUAGGAAGUCUGGUUCGUGUAGCUUCAUCAGUCACCAAGUUGGAUAUAGAUAAAAUUUCAGGACUUAAUGAUCAGGUGUGGGGAGGUGUUAUAGAGCAUCUUGGGGCUGUUGAAGAACUAUGCAUCUUAAGGUGUAAUGAAAUAAGAUACUUGUGGGAAUCAGAAGCAGAGGCAAGUAAGGUUCUUGUAAACUUAAGUAGGUUGCAUGUAGGUUCCUGUUCAAAUAUGGUAAGUUUAGGAGAAAAAGAGGAGGAUAAUUGUGGGAGCAACCUAACAUCUCUUACAAGCUUGACCUUUAUGGAUUGUGACAGCUUGGAGCAUUGCAGCUGUCCACAUAGCCUGAAGUCACUUACCAUUUGGAAUUGUAAUAAAUUAUUGGAAAAGGAGUUGGUAGGUGCACGAAAGAAGCCUCUGAUCAACUCAAACAUACUCAUGCUUGAAUCUGUAGAUAUAAUUGAUUGGCCAAAUCUGAAAUCGAUCACUGAUUUGAGUUCCUUCAAUCACCUCAGGAAUCUUCGGAUAAAAAAUUGUCCAAAUAUGGAGUCAUUUCCUGACCACGAGUUGCCGAAACUCAAUGUAUUAACACAUCUGACGAUAUUAAAUUGUCAAAGUAUGGAUGCGUCCUUUCCUAUUGGGCUUUGGCCUCCAAAAUUGUGUUGGCUUGAAAUAGGGGGGUUGAAGAAGCCCAUUUCAAAGUGGGGCCCACAAAAUUUUCCAACCUCACUUGUGAAUCUACUAUUAGUAGGUGGAGGGUCGGAAGAUGUGAGUAAUAUCAGUCAGUUGUCCCAUCUUCUUCCUUCAUCUCUUACUUCUCUUUAUAUAGAAGAAUUUGAGAAAGUGGAAUCAGUUUCAAAGGGACUCCAACACCUCACCUCUCUCCAGCAUCUCUUGAUUAGGAACUGCCCAAAGACAAGAGAUCUACCAGAAAUGUUGCUGCCUUCACUCUUGAGUUUGGAAAUAAGGGGAUGCCCAAAUCUGAAAGAAAGGAGUAGUAAAAGAGGCUCCUACUGGCCCCUCGUUUCACGUAUCCCCUGCAUCCGCAUAUACUAAGCAGUUCAGACUUAAUUCUAAAGGCCAUUUAAUUGAGAACUUGGAUUCACUUCCCAAACAUGAUGAUACAAAUAAAAGCAGGUUUGAAAUUUCAUUUGUGAAAUAGGAAUGAUUUGCAAUUGCUCUCUGAGGCAAAUCUGUCAAUUGCAGACAAGUGUGAGAGAAAAGACGUAUUCCUGUUGUCUGCAUAUCUUCUUCACAAGCAGACAAAUCAACUUAAUUUCAAGGGAUGAUCCAAUGUUUUGGGCGAGUUGUAUAUGAAAUAUUAGAAGCUCGUGUAUAUAUAUGUUUAAUUAAAUGGAAAAUAAUAAACUGUUAGAAAUCA